UUUUGGGUGGGGUUUUUUUUGUUUUAGUUAUAAAAGAGUUGGGCCCGAUCAGAUGUGAUCGCGUCUCCGCUUAUUCUCACCACUCCUGUCUAAGCACGGUACAACCCGCAAAACCGGGGAAGAAAGUUAGCAGUGUUCAGCCACAAUAACUGCUACACAACACUAAUUUUACGCAGAUAUAGACUACAGCUCUUAUUAAUUAUGCCUAAGGCGUGCUGUUAAAUUUGUUAGAAGCCACUUGGCAAUUACAUUCUUGCAAAUGUUUCCACAUUUAUCUUUUAUUUAUAAUAAUAGUAUCUUCUGCUGACUUGUGAAUAAACAGUUUGUCGAGUUAAGGACACAUUCCUUACAAUCAAGGUCUCACAGAACAGCUAUCAACAUUUUUCCCAAACAAUAUGAUGGAGCUAUUAGAAAUUAGGAUAAUUACAGAAAGACGUAUUUAUUUAGCCUGCCAUUCUGUCGGUCUCCUGUUUGGAAAUAAAUUCUAUGGCACUUAUGAGAAUGUUUUAAGUGGAAUGUCACGGUCCGAUGCAAGCAAGAAAGGCAGAACAUAAAAAAAGAUGCAUUAGGAAAUCUUUAAACAAGGAUAAGGAAAUAAAGCUGAUCUCUCUUGUUCAGUGUCUCAUUGACCCAUUUAAAUUUUCAUUGUGCACAAUAUCCUUUGGCAAUUACCUCUAGAGCUCAAAUAACCUUUGGUCUGAAGAACACCGUCUUUUUUUUCCUUUUUUUUUCUUUGAACCUGAUUCCGAUAUUGUCACUUGAUGUCCCCAGUCCUUGUACUGGAAGGGACAACAAACAACCUGCCCUCAUCUAGGCCACUGUUGCAUAGAAUGCUCUCCAGUUGUCUCUCCCAGGACUACGCAGCCAUCCCUGACAUGAAAGCUUUUCCAUCUUCCUGCGCUUUUGUGAACUGUCUGGCAUUUGAUUGCCAUUGCUGAACACUGGGCUGGCAUUUCUGUGGAAAAAUCUGCCAUAACUCUGAGAUCUUAUUCUUGAGUGAUGGUCAGUUCAAAGUUUGUCAUUCAAUGUGUGAAAUUAAGAUCUUUUUUCUUAUGCAUAUUCUUUGAUGUUUGUCUGCAUUGAAUUUAAUUUCUGUAUUUGCCCAUCACUCAAUUCCAUAAUGUCCUUCUGUAGUUUUUCAGUCAGGUAGGUCCCUUCUUGUUAUCUUGAAUAAUACAGUAUCAUAAGCAAUCUGUCACCUCAGUAAGCUUUGUCUUCUAUACAGCAAAUGAAAAUAACACAUGCAGAAACAUCAUCUAAAUUAACAUUGUUCUGUUACAGUACUAAAAAAAAAUAAAUUUCAUGUUCUUAAGUUAGUUUAAUUGUUGUUGAUCCUGGAAGAAAAUUUGAAAUUUCCAGGUUUCAAAACAGCAGCAGAUAUGGGUUAUAUAUGCACACGAAUCCUACCAGCAUUGAACGUCGUUUCAGAAAAAUCUCAAUAAAGGUAGUGCCUAUAUGAGCACAACGUAAAAACAUUCCUAUUUUUACAUUUUAUGUUUUCUUAUCCAGAGAUUUUAAAAUCCAGUAAAAACUAUACAAAACAUUUAAAAUAGAGGCAGAAAUUUCUAUUGCAAAUCAUACUUAAGAGGCACUGUGUGCAUUUUAUGGCUGCAAUAUAUAUAAAUUUUGUACAUAAUGUAAAUACUAUGUUUUCAAAUGAAACUUUAUCAGACAUUACCUUUUCAAAAUUCAGGUUUAAUUCAUAAAAAAAAAUUGUCUUGAUUUACAGUUCAGAAAUAGAAUAACUGCUUUUGGAGAUGUUGGUAUUUGGAAAGGUCUGAGGUAAUGGGAGAUGGUUCUGAUGUGACAGUCGUGUUUGCCUUUUCUUUUAAUUUGUCCUUGCUGGAGGCAUACAAUCUGGAGGUUUAUUACAAAGCUGCCACUCCUUCAAUUUUUUGAGCUGAAGAACUUGUCCUCUUAUGAACCACUAUGUCCCAGAGUUCAGUCUCUUCAGUUUGAAAGGUUUGUAAAGAACCCCAUCACCAUCUCAGAAACAACACUGAGAGUUUUUUAUUAAAAGCUUAUUCAUAGCCUUAAUUGUGGGAAAAGAGUAAAACAAUAUAAAAACCUCACUAAAAAAAAAUCCAGGUUAUUUUACUGUAAUAAUACAUUUUUUUGUACCCAAAGUUCCAAAGUUUUAAUUUAAACAGGGAUUAGGGUAUUUUUACAUGCAAAAAUCUGCCAACCCAAUGCUAGCAGAAUACAUUUUUCUUCAGACUGAGUGCAAUAUAAUGCAUUUCAGCCUGUUUGUUUCAUAAAAAAUAAAACCCUCUGUCACGAAUGCUUGUGACUAUUUGCACUUCAAGUGAGCCUAAGCAAACACGCCGAGGUUUCCCAUUGAGCUCAGCCAAUUUGUUAGAUUAUUCAUGGCAGCAGAGAAUGUGUACUUUUUAGAGCUUUUGUAUUCCAUUGCUGUUGAUACAUGUUAUCAGUUUUUACAGCAAAUGACAAGUGAAAAGAAAGCUCCUUGGAGGACUUCGUGUGCCUGAGAACGUGGGAAUAGGUGGGUCUCCAGCAGCUUGGGAGUCCUGUACUGCUCACAUAACAGUGUGUGGAAACUUCCUAAGCAUUGCAGAGGGAGAGUCUGGACUUGGCUGUCCAAUGGAGUGCUGGCAAGGACGAAUUUGUACUGGACAGUCACAUUGUGCCUUUUGUCAAGGCCCUUUCUGUACUCUGCAGAUAAUGAUCUAGCUCCGGGCUGCUUAAGGACUCUUUAUUCCUACCUGCCACAUUCACUACAGGGAUGAAAGGGCAGUCCGCCGGGUGACAGUAGGUGGCAGCGUGGCAUCGCGCUUCCCCUCCCUCCGCCUCUUGUGCUUCGUGUGUUACCGACAAGAAAUUCACGGUUUGUCUUCUUUUCCCUGGGUUAAUCAGCGUGGAAGGCUGCAUGCUAACGAAACUCGUGGAUUUUGUACAGCACAAUCCAGAGGAAUGUUGUCGGGGAAGGCAAGAGGACUGCUCACAUCGGAGUAUCUGACUAACACCCAGGGAAGAUAACGAGCUCCAAGGGCUGAACACAGCUCCUGCCUCUAAGACAGCCAGGAGAGACAUGUCCAAGGGACAGUAUGUAGAGGAAAGGCAUGCUAAAGGAAAACAACUAAUUUGAGGGCCGGGAGAGAACGAGGGGGAUCGGCAAGGACAAUUAAGAGAUGGGGGACCAAACAGUGGUGGAAUUACUGGAGAGUGCCAUUGGCAUGCUGCACGGUCUUUGAAACAGGAUCAAGUGAGAGAUACGGUGCCCGCACUUGUGUUCUGCCUGUAAUCUCUGUAAUAUCGCCGCUGUUCCGCGGAGUCACAGGCACCAGCUUCCAGGGAAAGGUGGGAGAGCUGCCCUCACCCACCCUGGCAGCCCGUGCUGGGCUGUGGCACAAACCAGGCAGUCACCAGCCCUCGGCUCCCCGGCAAGAACCUGCGCUGCCGGUCGAGGGCAUGUCGGACAGCGUGAAGUUUUCCCUGGCACCCAGGGAUGGGCCAGCAAAGGAGCGGGCCCGGUGCUGGGAUGGCAAUUCCUCCAACUCACCCUGGGCCUUCCCACAGGGAG